UACGAAGGGAGCUAGCGUUGUUCGGAAUCACUGGGCGUAAAGCGCACGUAGGCGGAUUUGUCAGUCAGGGGUGAAAUCCCGGGGCUCAACCUCGGAACUGCCUUUGAUACAGCAAGUCUUGAGCUCGAGAGAGGUGGGUGGAAUUCCUAGUGUAGAGGUGAAAUUCGUAGAUAUUAGGAAGAACACCGGUGGCGAAGGCGGCCCACUGGCUCGAUACUGACGCUGAGGUGCGAAAGCGUGGGGAGCAAACAGG
rnacentral:rRNA from 1 species